GAAUAUGCGUUUGGGUUCAUUACUUCAACUGUCACUCUCCAGAACUAUUCUGGAGAGGAGGAGCUGUGUUGUGUAUAUGUUCCCACCAAUCAUCUCUACAUUGGUGAUGUUUUCCUAGUCAACUCUCAGGAUGUUAUUAGACCAAAUUUGUCAGUUCGGGAAGGAAUCGAGAUCGUCGUGUCUGGAGGCAUGUCGAUGCCGCAGAUACUAUCCAUACGGGAUUCAGAUAUUCGACCAAUUGAGAGUAGAAGAUUGACUAGAAGCUGAGACUCUGAAGAGAUGUACCAUUGCUGGCUGCUAAUAAUCAAUAUACGAUCAUGG
rnacentral:misc_RNA from 1 species